rnacentral:ncRNA from 2 species
GCGCAGAGUAGAAGCGUUCAGCCACGCGACGGUUCCCGUCGAUGGUGGGAAAUUGCUCUUUCA